rnacentral:rRNA from 1 species
GACAGAGGUGCCGAGCGUUAGGCGGAAUCACUGGGCUUAAAGCGUGUGUAGGCGGGCCGUUAAGUGCCCCGUGAAAUCCCCCGGCUCAACCGGGGAACGGCGGGGCAUACUGGCGGCCUUGAGCCACUUAAGGGCAGACGGAACAAGCGGUGGAGCGGUGAAAUGCGUAGAUAUCGCGUGGAACGCCGACGGCGAAAGCAGUCUGCUGGGGGUGUGCUGACGCUGAGACACGAAAGCCAGGGGAGCGAACGGG